GAUGAACGCUAGCUACAGGCUUAACACAUGCAAGUCGAGGGGCAGCAUGGUCUUAGCUUGCUAAGGCCGAUGGCGACCGGCGCACGGGUGAGUAACACGUAUCCAACCUGCCGUCUACUCUUGGACAGCCUUCUGAAAGGAAGAUUAAUACAAGAUGGCAUCAUGAGUCCGCAUGUUCACAUGAUUAAAGGUAUUCCGGUAGACGAUGGGGAUGCGUUCCAUUAGAUAGUAGGCGGGGUAACGGCCCACCUAGUCUUCGAUGGAUAGGGGUUCUGAGAGGAAGGUCCCCCACAUUGGAACUGAGACACGGUCCAAACUCCUACGGGAGGCAGCAGUGAGGAAUAUUGGUCAAUGGGCGAGAGCCUGAACCAGCCAAGUAGCGUGAAGGAUGACUGCCCUAUGGGUUGUAAACUUCUUUUAUAAAGGAAUAAAGUCGGGUAUGGAUACCCGUUUGCAUGUACUUUAUGAAUAAGGAUCGGCUAGCUCCGUG
rnacentral:rRNA from 1 species